GUGGGGAAUCUUGCGCAAUGGGCGAAAGCCUGACGCAGCAACGCCGCGUGGGGGAUGAAGGCUCUCGGGUUGUAAACCCCUUUCAGCAGGGACGAAUCAAGACGGUACCUGCAGAAGAAGCCCCGGCUAACUACGUGCCAGCAGCCGCGGUAACACGUAGGGGGCAAGCGUUGUCCGGAUUUAUUGGGCGUAAAGAGCUCGUAGGUGGCUGAGUAAGUCGGAUGUCAAAUCCCCAGGCUCAACCUGGGAUCCCAGCCGAUACUGCUCUGGCUAGAGUCCGGUAGGGGAGCGUGGAAUUCCUGGUGUAGCGGUGAAAUGCGCAGAUAUCAGGAGGAACACCAGCGGCGAAGGCGGCGCUCUGGGCCGGUACUGACACUGAGGAGCGAAAGCGUGGGUAGCAAACAGGAUUAGAAACCCCGGUAGUCC
rnacentral:rRNA from 1 species